rnacentral:lncRNA from 1 species
AUCAGGGUGUGUGAACGCGAGGAGCGCGACGCGAGUGUGGGUCAGACACCAAGGAAACCAUACGGAGUGCCUGCUGGGCGCCACCGACAUGCCCGCGCGAGGGAUGCAGCCGGGGCCCUGACCUCGCAGGCCGGCUGCGUAGACGGCCGCAACCGUGUAAACAGGCUCGGAUCACUCCGGCCCGCGCUAAGUGCGGGGAGGACACCAGCUCGGGAGAUGGAGUAAGGGUCAGGGAGCGAUUCUCGGAGAAGGUGUCAUCCGGGCCUGAGUGGACUAGCCAGCGGGGGCUUUUGAGGCCCAGGAAGCAGCGAGAUUUUGAGGCAGGGCCCAGCCUGGUGCGUUUGCAGGGAGAAAAGAGGCCAGCGUGGCUGGAGUGCCGUGAGGGAGGCUUGGAGGUGGGGAGAGGUUGGCCCGCGCCUCGAAGAUGGCGGGGAGUGAGUGGAUUCCGUUCCCGAGUCUGUCGGGCCCACGGGAGGCUUAGAGCAAAUUGCUUCACCUGUAAAAUGGAAAUAAUAGCAGUCAUCGCCUCCGAGGUGAACACAGCCCCCAGCUGCUAAUAAGCACCUGGUAAAACGGCAGCUGCUUGGAUGUCUGGGGGGAGGGAGCCUGGAGGAGUGGCCUGGUUCAUCCUGGGGUGAGCCUCCCCAGGGAAGGCUUCUUGGAGGAGGUGAUCGUUGGUGGGUUACUAAGGAUGAUUCAGAGUUAACAGGGCGGAGAGACCAGUGCACAGAGAUGCGGAGGAGCUAAGAGAUCUGCCAGCAAGCAACCUCGCUGGUCCAGAUCCAGAUGGACUUGGGGAUGAGGGAGGAGUGCAUAGAUCCUGGAGAGACUGGAAGGGGGGGAGCGGCCGCUGAUCAGGGAGCAGGUUUCGGUGCAUCUGGAAAUGGGGAUGUUGCUAGACACCCGGGUGGGGGCGAGGUGCAGAGUGGGCUUAGAAGAAGCAAGCCUGGAGCUUGGGAGACAUCCCCACCUGGGGGGAUUGGGCAGAGAGAAGAUGCGAGGAAACAGUAGGUGGCAAGCCAGAAGCCAGGGAGCAAGGGCUUCAAAAAGGAGGGAAUGAUUAGCUCGGUUAAGUUUCUGAAUCGUCUGCUUGAAUAAUUCAGUCAG